rnacentral:rRNA from 1 species
UACGGAGGGUGCGAGCGUUGUCCGGAAUCACUGGGCGUAAAGGGCGCGUAGGUGGCUUAGAAAGCGUGUGGUGAAAGCCCGGGGCUUAACCCCGGGUCUGCCGUGCGAACUACUAUGGCUAGAGAACUGUAGAGGCAAGUUGAAUUCCGGGUGUAGCGGUGGAAUGCGUAGAGAUCCGGAAGAAUACCGGUGGCGAAGGCGGCUUGCUGGGCAGUCUCUGACACUGAGGCGCGACAGCGUGGGGAGCAAACAGG